UACGUAGGGUGCAAGCGUUAAUCGGAAUUACUGGGCGUAAAGCGUGCGCAGGCGGUAAUGUAAGACAGAUGUGAAAUCCCCGGGCUCAACCUGGGAACUGCAUUUGUGACUGCAUUGCUGGAGUGCGGCAGAGGGGGAUAGAAUUCCGCGUGUAGCAGUGAAAUGCGUAGAUAUGCGGAGGAACACCGAUGGCGAAGGCAAUCCCCUGGGCCUGUACUGACGCUCAUGCACGAAAGCGUGGGGAGCAAACAGG
rnacentral:rRNA from 1 species